rnacentral:rRNA from 1 species
AAGUCGUAACGGUAGUUAAGUUUGGUAGCUUGCUUAGUAUAAUGAGAGUGGCGUACGGGUGCGUAACGCGUGAGCAACUACCCAUAGUCAGGGGGAUAGCCGCGAAAUCGGAUUAAUACGCAUAACAUUAGAGUGGCAUCAUCUUUAAUCAAAUAUUUAUAGGAUAUGGAUGGGCUCGCGUGACAUUAGCUAGUUGGUAAGGUAACGGCUUACCAAGGCUUCGAUGUCUAGGGGCUCUGAGAGGAGAAUCCCCCACACUGGUACUGGGACACGGACCAGACUCCUACGGGAGGCAGCAGUAAGGAAUAUUGGUCAAUGGAGGGAACUCUGAACCAGCCAUGCCGCGUGCAGGAUGACUGCCCUAUGGGUUGUAAACUGCUUUUAUACGGGAAUAACCGUGGGUACGUGUACCCAUCUGAAUGUACCGUAAGAAUAAGGAUCGGCUAACUCCGUG